UACGUAGGGUGCGAGCGUUAAUCGGAAUUACUGGGCGUAAAGCGUGCGCAGGCGGUUCGUCGUGUCCGAUGUGAAAGCCCCGGGCUCAACCUGGGAACGGCAUUGGAAACUGGCUUACUAGAGUGCGGUAGAGGGGUGUGGAAUUCCCGGUGUAGCAGUGAAAUGCGUAGAUAUCGGGAGGAACAUCUGUGGCGAAGGCGACACCCUGGACCAGCACUGACACUGAGGCACGAAAGCGUGGGGAGCAAACAGG
rnacentral:rRNA from 1 species